GUUUACUUCCUGUCACCUCCAACUGCAUUGGAGCGUUGUCUAAUUGGGCAUUAUGUCAUCCAAUUAGACUCCAACUGCACAAAGACCUGUUUCCACUUCACCCCUUGUGCUCCUGGAGCAGAUCUGCGUGACUAGGAGCAAAGGAUCCUGGGAGGGCCAGCCCACAAUAUGGAAGGAGGCGGAGUCACACAGCCGUGACUUGAGAGAGAGCCACACGGGUGAACUGUUGACGUGAUCAAGAAAUGAAAGUGUAUUGGGCUAAGCCACAGAGAUUUCAGGGUUUAUUUGUUUCAGCAGCAUAAUCAACUUCACGAUUAAAAGAAGAGGAUAUGGAUUCCAGAAUCUUAUCAAAAUAGGAUAUCAAAGGGGUUUAAACUCAGGAAACAAAAUGGAAGCACUACUGUGGUGAAUCCCUGGAAAUACCACGUUAGAAGGCAGAUGAAACUUCCAAGGACUUGGGCGUGGCUGUUAGGCUUCCCCAGUUAUUUAGCUGAAUGUGCAGAGCAGGGCACCGGAUUUGGUAAAGAAUUUGAGGGCCAAACCCAUUUUGUCUUGGAGUGAAGGCUGUGAUCCUCAACUCUGGCUUCAAGUUAGGUUUCAAUUAAAUCACAAAAAUGCUGAUGUUUGGGCCUUAAGUCAAAUCAGUUAAAUCAGAAUCUCUGGAGAUGAGAUGAAGAUAUUGUUAUAUUUUUAAAGUUACCCUAGUAGUGCUAAUACGUAGCUAGAUUGGGAAUCCCUGAGUUGAUGUAACUAGAGGCAAAUAUUUUCACAAAGGGGUCUGAAGCUGCUUAAGAGCUUUGUCUCAAUAGAAAUUGGGUUAGGAAGCCUAGGACAGAGUCCAAAGGAAAGAAAUAUCAGCCAGAUUCAGAUAUGUGGAACUGGAAAAGAAGAAUAUUUUAGCAUCAAUCUCUCAAGAAAAAAAGAGAGUAUCUGCCUGGAAACCCUGUUGCCUGGAGACCACUCUUGAAGAACAUCCACUGCUGUGGCCUCUUAAAGAUUUAAGACAUCUAAUGAAGAGCUGACAGAAAUCAUCAAUUUGCUCCUCAGCCUCCCUCUUCCCUGAAACACAAAAACAUUGAAAUUAGGCCAAUUAAUAACUCUACAAUGGCCUCUGAGAGUUAAAAUGAAAGGAAGUGUAAAAUGGUUUCUCACUUGAAAUCAAAAGCUAGAAAUGAUUAAGCUUCGUGAGGAAGGCAAGUUGAAAGCUGAGACAGCCAAAAGCUGACUCCCGCACCAGGGAGCCAAGUUGUGCAAGCAAAGGAAAAGUUCUUGAAGGAAAUUAAAAGUGCUGCUCCAGUGAACACAUGAAUGAUAAGAAAGCAAAAGUGAUCUGGGUAGAAGAUCAAACCAGCCACAACAUGCCCUUAAGCCAAAGCCUAAUCCAGAGCAAGGCUUUAACUCUCUUCAAGUUUGUGAAGACUGAGAGAGGUAAGGAAAGUGCAGAAGGAAAGUUAAAUGCUAGAAGAGUCGGUUCAGGAGGUUUCAGGAAAAAGCCAUCUCCACAAAUAAACAUACAACGCGAAGCAGCAAAUGCUGAUGUAGAAGCUGUGGCAAGUUUUCCAGAAGAGCUAGCUCAGAUCAUUGAUAAACGUGGCUACAUUAAACAACAUAUUUUCAGUGUGGAUGAAACAGAGUCCUACUGGAAGAAGACACCAUCUAGGACUUUCAUAGCUACAGGGAAAAGUCAAUGUCUGGCUUCAAAGCUUCAAAGAACAGGGUGACUCUCUUGUCAGACACUAAUACAGCUGCUGACUUGAAGUUGAAGUCAGUGCUCACUGCACAUUCUGAAAACUUAAGGAUCCUUAAGAACUGUGCUAAAUCUACUCUGCCUAUGUGCAACAAAGCCCUUAUGGCAGCAUGGCUGUUUACAAUAUCAUUUACUGAAUAUUUGAAGCCUACUACUGAGAACUACUGCUCAGGAAAAAAGAUACUUUUCAAAAUAGUACUGCUCUUUGACAAUGGACCUGGUCACCCAAGAGCUCUGAUGGAGGUGUGCAAGGAGAUGAACGCUGUGUUCAUGCCUGCUAACACAACACCCGUUCUGUACUCCAUGGAUCACAGAGUAAUUUUGACUUUCAAGUCUUAUUAUUUGAGAAAUAAAUUUUGUAAGGCUAUAGCUGCCACACAUAGUUAUUCCUGUGACGGAUCCGGGCAAAGUAAAUUGAAAACCUAGAAAAGAGUCACCAUUCUAGAUGUCACUAAGAACAUUUAUGAUUCAUGGGAGGAGGUUAAAUUAUCAACAUUAAUAGAAGUUUGAAAGAAAUUUAUUCCAGCCCUCAUGGAUGACUUUGAUGGGUUCAAGACUUUGGUAGAGGAAGUAACUGCAGGUAUAGUGAUAAUAUCAAGGAAAUUAGAACUAAAAGUGGAGCCUGAAGAUGUGACUGAAUUGCUUCAGUCUCACGAUAAAACUUGAACAUAACAGCAGUUAAUUCUUACGGAUUAGCAAAAAAGUGGUUUUGUGAGAUGGAAUCUAUUCCUGUUGAAAAUGCUGUGAACACUGUGGAAAUGACAACAAAGGAUUUAGAAUAUUACAUAAACUUAGUUGAUAAAGCAGCAGUAGGGUUUAGAAGGUUUGACUCCAAUUUUGAAAGAAGUUCUACGGUGGGUCAAAUGCUACCAAAGAGCGUUGCACGCUAUAGAGUAAUCUUUCAUGAAAGGAGGAGUCAACUGAUGUAGCAGACUUCACCGUUGUCUUAUUUUUAAAAAUUUCCACAGCCACCCCAAUUUUCAGCAACCACCACCUUGAUCAGUCAGCAGCCAUCAGCAACAAAGCAAGACCCUCUUCCAGCAAAAAAAUUACAACAACUUGCUGAAGGCUCGGAUGAUUUUUAGCAACAAACUAUUUUAAAAUUAAGAUUGUCAAACAUGACCCUUGAGGCUUACCUCUGGAUUGUGGUACGAAGGAAUGAAAGUGAAAAAUAAUUACCUUUGUGAGAUUCAGUAAGUACUUAAGUCCACUUUUAAAAUUUGAAAACAGAAACAAAAUCUAAUGAUUUAGACACAAGGGAGAAGCCAAUAUAUUGACAAUAGAUGCUUUUUGCAGAGUACAACAGACUUUUAAAGGCUAUUCAUUUUACAGUUUUCUUGGUGAAUUUCCAUAGCUCUCAUUGUUAGUGCUGUUUAAUUUAUUCAAAUAUUUAGACUGGUCAGUUAUCCGAAGGGCUUAGUGGGGAUGUUUUGCUUCAUGUUCUUAAAAGCCAUUCAAUGUACACCUACAGCCAUCUGAUCUUUGACAAAGUCAGCAAAAAUAAGCAAUGGGGAAAGGACUCCCUAUUCAAUAAAUGGUGUUGGAUAACCAGUUGGCCAUACACAGAAGAAUGAAACUGGACUCCUAUCUUUUACCACAUACAAAAAUUAACUGAAAAUGGAUUAAAGAUUUAAAUGAAAGACCUCAAACUAUAAGACUCCUAGAAGAAAAGCUAGGAAGCACCAUUCCUGACAUCAGCCUUGGGAAGGAAUUUAUAACUAAGUCCUCAAUAGCAAUUGCAACAAAAGAAAUUGACAAGCGGGAUUUAAUUAAACUAAAGAGCUUCUGCACAGCAAAAUAAACUAUCCACAGAGUAAACAAUCUACAGAAUGGGAGAAAAUAUGUGUAAGCUAUGCAUCUGACAAAAGCCUAAUAUCCAGAAUCUAUAAGGAGCUUAAAUAAUUGAACAAACAAAAACCAAAUAAUCUCAUUAAAAAAUGGGCAAAGGACAUCAACCAGACACUUCUCAAAAGAAGACAUACAAGCAGCCAACAAACACAACAAAAAAAUGUUCAACAAGUCACCAAUCAUCAGAGAAAUGCAAAUCAAAACAGAGGGCUAUUAUUGAAAAGUCAAAAAACCAACAGAUGCUGGUGAGCCUGUGGAGAAAAGGGAAUACUUAUACACUGCUAUUGGAAAUGUAAAUUCGUUCAACCACUGUGGAAAGCAGUUUGGAGAUUUCUCAAAGAACUUAAAUCAAAACUACCAUUUGACUCAGUGAUCCCAUUGCUGGGGUAUCUAUCUAAAGGGAAAUAAAUCAUUCUAUCAAAAAGACAAAUGCAGUUGUACAUUCGUCACAGCACUAUUCAAAAUAGUAAAGAGACUGAUUCAUCCCAAGUGUUCAUUAAUAGUGGACUCAGUAAAGAAAAUGUGGUACAUAUACACCACGGAAUACUAUGCAGCC